rnacentral:lncRNA from 1 species
CACAGGUGAAAGAGUUUGAGUGCACAGGUGUGCGUGCGUGUGAGCGUGCGUGCGUGCGUGCGAGAAGGUCAGAGUGCGCCGCGUGUCCGUAAGUGAAAGUGCGCGUUUUUGUGUUCAGAUGGAGGACGCCCCCAGCUCCCAGAAGAGCGGGCGACUUUCUUCCUCUCACGACUUGGGGAGAGGAGGAGGAGGACCGUUUCCGACGUGGACAGGUUUCGACGUCUUAGGGGUCCAGGUAAAGGCGAUUCAAUUAUGGGAUAUGAGGCUGGUCAGGAAGCAUGAGAGCCUGCACCAUCCUGCAGGCCACAGAGACCUUCGGUGGACAGUUCUGAAUGGGAUAAAGCCUGCAGGCCAGUACUCCCAUGAGAGCUCUUCUCCCACAGAGACUGUCGUAUUGGACACAGAAGCAAUAUCCAGCCUAAGGCUGCCAGCAAACAUCACACUGAAGCAUAAAAAGGUAGAAGGCAAGAAGAUGGGGAAAUCCUGUCACAUUAGUACUCAGUGUGAGGGUGCUCACCCCAGACUGUGUGGACUUUGAGACACCAGGUGUCAUUGGGGAUAAAGAGGGUCACUCCAAGAAGACACAAUGGAGAAAGUGAAGCUCUCUCUGCUCGGCUGACCCCUCACUCCUAUGAGGGCAAGUCAGUCACAGCAUGUGACCUGGCUUUGCAAAGAAAAAGGCAUUUCCCUAAGGUUAUGGGGUUGUGUUUGAGAUCAGCCCAAGACAGCCUGGCUCCUAGAAAAGAACCUGACCAGCCCUGUCUUCCUAGAGUGGGGCCACCUCGCAACAACCCUGGGCAGCCCUAUGAGUGGCUGCAGAGCACAGCUUGACUCUUCAUAGGAACCACCCAAACCAUCUUCAUCUCUAUGAAUCAUCCUCACAGAGACUGAGUAUUGAGGCGAAAAGAAACCCAGGUGCAUUGAAAGACUGGCUUGAAGGCUGACGUUACUUAGGAUGAGACUCAGAGUUUCCAUCAUGGCUCAGCAGAAAUGAAUUUGAUGAGCAUCCAUGAGGACGCAGGUUUGAUCCCUGGCCUCCCUCAGUGGGUUAAGGAUCUGGCGUUGCUGUGGCUGCAGUGUAGGCCGGUGGCUGCAGCUCUAAUUCAACCCUAGCCUGGGAACCUCCAUAUGUCACAGCUGCAGCCCUAAAAAAGACAAAAAAUAAAAAAAUAAAAACAGGAUGAGAGUAGGUUAAA